rnacentral:rRNA from 1 species
UUUAUCGGAGAGUUUGAUCCUGGCUCAGGACGAAGGCUGGCGGCGGGUCUAAUACAUGCGAGUCGCUCGUAAAGCUGGGAGCUGUAUCCCUGACGU